AAAGCUGGAUUAAUACCGCAUACGCCCUACGGGGGAAAGCAGCAAUGCGCUAAUAGAUGAGCCCGCGUAAGAUUAGCUAGUUGGUAAGGUAAAGGCUUACCAAGGCGACGAUCUUUAGCUGGUCUGAGAGGAUGGCCAGCCACAUCGGGACUGAGACACGGCCCGGACUCCUACGGGAGGCAGCAGUCGGGAAUAUUGGACAAUGGGCGCAAGCCUGAUCCAGCAAUACCGCGUGUGUGAAGAAGGCCUGCGGGUUGUAAAGCACUUUCAGUUGGGAAGAUAAUGACGUUACCAACAGAAGAAGCACCGGCUAACUCCGUGCCAGCAGCCGCGGUAAUACGGAGGGUGCAAGCGUUAAUCGGAAUUACUGGGCGUAAAGCGUGCGUAGGCGGCCUGUUAAGUCAGAUGUGAAAGCCCCGGGCUUAACCUGGGAACUGCAUCUGAUACUGGGAGGCUAGAAUGUGGGAGAGGAGAGUGGAAUUUCCGGUGUAGCGGUGA
rnacentral:rRNA from 1 species